rnacentral:rRNA from 1 species
CCUACGGGAGGCAGCAGUGGGGAAUAUUGCACAAUGGGGGAAACCCUGAUGCAGCAACGCCGCGUGAAGGAAGACGGUUUUCGGAUUGUAAACUUCUGUUCUUAGGGAAGAAUAAUGACGGUAGCUAAGGAGCAAGCCACGGCUAACUACGUGCCAGCAGCCGCGGUAAUACGUAGGUGGCAAGCGUUGGUCGGAAUUACUGGGUGUAACGGGAGCGCAGGCGGGAAGCCAAGUCAGCUGUGAAAACUACGGGCUUAACUUGUCGACGGCCGUUGAAACUGGUUGUCUUGAGUGAAGUAGAGGUAGGCGGAAUUCGGAGUGUAGCGGUGAAAUGCGUAGAUAUUCGGAAGAACACCGGUGGCGAAGGCGGCCAACUGGGCUUUAACUGACGCUGAGGCUCGAAAGUGUGGGGAGCGAACAGGAUUAGAUACCCGAGUAGUC